UGACAUUUUUUUGGCUUUCAGGUGCCUGAUGUCUGUAUUUAAACAGCAUCAUCUGUAACACAGAGCCAUUUGUGUUUUGUGUUCUCACUGUCAGAAGAAGAAAGUUUUGGGGUUGGCACUUUUUAGUGUGGGCAUGAGGAACAGGAAUGGUUCUGGGACAGCUGUGCUGGCAUUGAGCACAACCAGGGAACACCUCUUGGCCAAGCAGGAGGAGCAGCCUGUGUCCCACAGACAUGGAAAACCCAGGGAGCUUGCAGGACAUGGCAUGGAGUGGUGGAAGGAUCAAAGGGAGAGACAAGCACAGAGAAGAGCAAAUAGCUUUGAAAACAAUUUCAACCCAAACUUGCAUGCAUGGCCCAGUUCUGAGGCCUCACAGAAGACUCACCAGGCCAGCACAGGAGGCAUCUCCCACUAACCAUGUUGUAAGAGAAGGGGAAUGAAUGGAAUGAAUGGAAGCAAUGGAAGAGGAGUUCCUGUAAGACAUAUGAAAGCAUUUGAGAAGCAAACCAUCUUGGAUUUUGCCUGGAGUAUUUGUGACUCACAAUUUAAAGAGAAUUAUUUCCUGGUACCAGUGCCCUGAGCACCAGCACCUAUGGAGCUGAUCAAAUGCAAUGCCAUUGUCCCAGUUCUCAAGCCAGGCUGUGAUGAGAAAUGUGAUGCUUUGUUUUUGCCUGAGAUGAACAAGUGGCUUUUUGUGUGUUGUGGUGUCUCCUAAAAGACCCAGUUGCCUGGUGAAGAAUUCUGGGCAUUUUCUGUGUUUCCUGCCUCUCCACUGACUAUCAACAAAGUUUGAAGUGAAAGGUAUUUUUUACUAUUUACACUUCCAUAUCCAGAUUAUAAUGUGCUUGUUUCCCCAACCCAAAAAGCACUUUCUAGGAGGAAUGUCCUUGCCAUUUGUGCAGCUCUGUCCAGGGCCUGAGCUUUUACCUUGGCCUGUGGAACAUCAGCAUUCCUCUUGUGGGGGCUGCUGAGGGGUGAGCUCUGCACAAGGGUGGCACAGCAGGACACGAAAUGAAUGACACACACAUGCUGGAAUGUUUAGGGUAAAAGAGGGUAGUUUAUUUUUGAAUUGGAAUGUUUAUAGUCUUUUAAAAGUGGCUAUGGAUUGGAGGAUGAAAUUGUUACACUGGUUAAAUUAACAGUCUAUUAAAUUUUUCUUCUUCUAGAAAGGAACACAAACCAAUCAUUAUUUACAUGAAAAGUGUGUGAGAAACUCCAUUUCAGAAAUGUAAACCCCAGAAGGUUUAGGAGCUUUUAGAAGAGCAGGCUGACACCAGUGGGGCUCAGAAUGCCAGCCCUGAGAGAAAAAGUGUGGCUGCAGCUCAGGUGCACUCAGGGCUGCAGAGAGAAGGGGAUUUUCUAAUGCAUGGCUCAUUUGUGGUGCACAGCUCCUACAAGGAUGGCACUGAAGCACCUUGCUGUGCCUCCCUUCAUGGCUGAGCCACCCCACAGGGAUGAGCUGCAGCCUCUCAUCCUUCUGGGCUGUCUGGGAAAAAUUUGCUUUGGCCAAGGUGUUUUUCCAGCCCUGAGUAAAGAUGACUUGGCUUGCCCAGGGGAGAGGACAGAGCAGUGCUCACUGUGGUCACCUGGAGUGGUGUGUGCCCAGCCAGUAUCACCCAACCCACUCUGGCCACCUGCACCUGCUCUACAAGUGAGUUUCUAGUCCAAUUUAGUUGCUGGCAGUUGGGUGUCUUUGAGAGAAGACUUGGUGAUGACUCAGAGCAGAGCAGAGAAGCUGGAAGAGGGUGCACUUCAGGUGGAGCUGGGGAGGUAGGGGAUGUAGAGAUGAAACUGAAGUGCAGAUGAAGGAGAAAAACACAAAGAUGUUAAGCUCUUUAUAAAAGGAGGAGCCAUGAAAUUCAUGCAAAAGCAAAAGUCAGAAUAUUUUUAGUGUGUUUCCAUAAUCUGCAUUGUCAGCAAUAAUGAAUUGUAACACUUUGCUUCCUUUUCUAGUUAUUCCUUUUUAGAAUUUAAAAUUGUCCACGUUUUUGUGAGCUACUCAGCAUUGUCUGAUAUUGAGCAUCCUUUCAGGUAUACAUUAUGCUUCAGUGGAACACCAAAACCAAUCAGCAGAGAAUUUCUGAAGAGGGAAGUGCUAUACAAUAAUGAUGAACAUAUUGUCCUCAAGCUGUGGAGGUUAACAGCCUCAAAUUGCUUUGCUAUUUGUACAUAUUGAAAUAAGAAGAAUUUAUAUGUUUGCUCUCAUUUCAGUGUGCUCUUGUGAUUCAUUACAUUGGCACUUCAGAGUUCAGAACAGUCACUUGUCUCCUGCAAAGCAGCACCCUUAACUGUGUUACUAUUUGGUUGCUCAUUAUUGUCCCAAUUCCUUCUUCUUUAUUGCUGCACAAAUGCACUUUGGUUUCACAGUAACUGGUGUCUAAUGCUGAUUUCUGCAGUGUUCAGUGUAGGAAGGAUCAGGGCCCUGCUGUACAAAGAAAUCAGCUAAGUAAAUCUAUAAUUGCUCUGCUGCUUAAACAAUGUCUUGGACCAUUACAACUAAAACAAACAAACAAUUUUUUUUUUUAAAAUUGGUUUUGCACCUAUGGAUACCUCUCAUUCUUGUUCAAUAGGGUUUUUAAUGAGAUGCCAACAGACAGGUAGAAAGCAUUAACUUAGAUUUCUGAUUCCUUGGUUUAUAGGGACAAUACAGUAAUUUUCCAGUCUGUCCUGGGUAAGGGAAAAGCAUACUUACUGAGAAAUGAAUUGUGAGUUGAAAGUCUCUAAUCUUGGCCUACCAACCCACACUCCUUCUUGCUCUAAGCAGGUAUUGAGAAAAGGUAUUCAGGUACCUAAAGGUGAAAAUAGGUUCACAAUGUUUUUGCUUUGUUUUUGUUGCUUGUUUGGGUGGAUUUUUGGUGUGUUUUGUUGUUUCCUCCCCAGAAAUGAACAGGAGACUCUUCCAGCCCUCUGCAAAACUGUUAGAUGCCCUGUUGUACCCAUAAAUUCCUCCAGUACUUCUACUGACCUGGAUGCUGUGGCUUCAGUCAAGCCCAGGCUCCAUGUCCAGGGCUGUGGGGCCAUCCCACAUCCCCAGCUGAGGGUUUGGGUGUAGGUACCCACGCUGGAGCCAAGCACUUCUCCUCUGUCAGAGAUGAAAUGCAUCCUGAAGUGCCUCUUUGGCCUCUGGGAGCUGUAUGAGCAUUCCUUUGGGACAAGCACAGAAAGGGAUGUUUCCAGUCUGAUGGUCAUAUUUGCUCAGGACAACUUUAUUUUACACAAAGGUUCAGCCUUGGUGUUUCUGCCACUUCUUUUCAUCAAAAUGUUUAUUUUCUAUCUAUUAAAGAUAUGUCAUUCAAAUCAAUAGCAAACACUCUAAUCUUAUCUUUUAACCAAAUAUUAGCCAUGUUUUCCAUUUACAAGCUGACAUUACCUCACACUAACCUUUUCCCUGCAUACAGGACUCCUUUUCUUUAAACCUGUUAUUAAUUCUGCCUUUUAUGUCCCAACCAGGUCCAGCAGCACAAUUAACUGCUUUUCUUAACAUGCUAGUUUGUGAGUGAUCUCCAUGAUACCACUGCCAUGAAGAAAUUGAGGGGGUUAAACUGGCUCUCAUUACGAGCUGAUCUUUGCACAGACUCUGGUUGGUAGAACUGGCAGAGGAUGUGCAUUGCAGAAUUCAAAUUAAAAGUUAUGAGAACCAUUGCUACAUAAUGGGGAGAUCAGACAAGCAUGGGGGAAUCCACACAAGUCUUUAAUCUCCAUCAAGGCAAGAUAUUGUUUCUGCUUUGUUCUGUACUUUAAAAUAAAUCCUUCAUGACGCUGUCA